GUUAUCUCAAUAUAACUAGUGAUAAUGAUAAUCUCUUUAAAUUUAGCAUUUUUUUCUAAUUGAAUAAGGAUAAUUUAAGUUUUAAUAAUAUAUAUGAGGACAUACAUGGAAAGGUAUUGAGUAUGAAACUGGUUUACUUUCUCAAUAUUACAUAAACCACGUUUUUGUAGCAAUUAGCUUAAUUGAUUCACCGGAUAUUACUAAAAAAAACUAAAGUUUGUGUUUUAGAGAGAGAGAUAUUUGAAUAGAGCAAGGGGCACAAAACUGUUACUAAUCAUCCUAGAAAUUAGAAAAAUGGUGAGUUAAGUGUGAGCUGUAUGUCUUGUUGGAUAAUGCAAAUAAAGAAGCACAGUUUUGUGCUUUUUUGCUCUUUUAUUCUUUGUGUAAACAGUAGGGCAAGGCAAGGAAUCAAAUACCACUUGUUGGUACCGAUUAUGAUCUUGUUUUUUCCGAUUAAGAUAAUAAUUUUGAAAUUGUUUAUGCCAAUAAUUUGUUGCACUUAAAACACUCAUCAAUUUGUUAGACAUGGGGUCCAGUCAAAACGCAGAAGUUAUGACACUUCACAUUACUUGAUCUUUCAUCAUUAUUUAUUUUGCUUAAGAAUGGGACUACCAACGCCCCAAUAAUUUCCUUUUGAACCUAAAUAUUCUUUCUAAUCCUUCAUUUUCUUCACACCAACUCUGUAGUUAUUAUUUUCUUAUACAAAAUUUUGGAUUUGGAAUGAUUAAAUCAUAUUAUAAAAACAUAUGUAUAUUUAAAUUAAUUAGAGUUAAAAGUAGAUUCAAAUAACUAAUCCGUUGAUAUGCAAAAAAUUAUCAAAUAAAUUAUUCUUUUAAGUUUAUACAGAAAUUUGAUAAUAGAUGAAAAAAGUCA
rnacentral:lncRNA from 1 species